rnacentral:rRNA from 1 species
UAACGACUCUCGGCAACGGAUAUCUCGGCUCUCGCAUCGAUGAAGAACGUAGCGAAAUGCGAUACUUGGUGUGAAUUGCAGAAUCCYGUGAACCAUCGAGUCUUUGAACGCAAGUUGCGCCCCAAGCCGUUAGGCUGAGGGCACGUCUGCCUGGGUGUCACG